GAUGGAGGCGUCUUGAGUGGAAAUAUGGGUCGUCUCCUGCCCUCAGAGGGUCUCUCUCUCUCUUUCUCGCUCCUCUGCGCCCACCCAUCCCCUUUGCCUUCCUUCCUGCACCCCUUCCCUGUAACCCACCUCCUUGCUUCUCCCUGACAGUUGCUGCUCCCAGAGCCACGAACCCUUCUCCUUCCUCCAGAAAUAAGUCUCCCUCCCCCGGCCUCCUCAGGGUGAGCACGCCCUGCAGCUUCCUGUGACCGUCCCUGUCCUCCUUCGCGGUCUGUGGCUCUGAGGGCCUCAUGGCUCUGAGGGCGAGGCCGUCUCUGGUUUCAGGCUGGGCCUGCCCGGGCCCCCGGGGAGGGACACAGAGCUCCGGGCUGGGGACGGGGUGGGGAGAGGUGUCAGAGGCACGGAAAGUUCCGUCCAGGCGCUGUGGCUUUGCUCGGCGUGCGUCUAAACCAAAGCAUCCUGCCGCUGUGGUGGAGUUCCGUCUUGAAUUCCCAUUUUUAUCUAAAUGAGAAAGUUAUCUGCCUUCUAUUCGGGUGACGUCAUUUCUUACAACAAUCCUGGGCUGAUCAUGCUAGGACACCGUGAAUCCUUUGCAACAUUAACAACCAAUGCCCCGGCCCAGUUCUCUCUAACCACUAGGCUCUCCCCGGCCCAGGAGGAGGAGGGCUCCUUGCUGGUGGCCUCACCACCUACGUGGACCUAUUUUGGGUGGAAAUAGCAGCAGCCGUGGCAUUGGCUGCUGGGGUGGAUCUGUUUCCAAAUCUCAAAGUGGAGUCAGAUUCCCUAGGACUGUCCAGAGCGACAUUGUCAACCUGUUUCAUCCCAGGGCACACACAAGCUCUUACGAAAAUUCGGCGGCUCACCAAACGUACAUGUUUUUGCUGAUCUAACAAAAAAAACUAUAAUUCUUAUCUAUUCACUGUUGAUCUAGUGGCUGCUGACAUUUGUUCUUUGACAACCGAGGGGAAGAGAGGCCAGUGCCCGUGAGUAAACAGUCAGGUGCUGCGUGUUUUAGCUGUCCUUGCAGCACCAGGUUGAAAGUCGCCGGCCGAGGGCGUGCCGUCGGUGCCCAGGGCCUGCGUGUAAGCUGCGUGGGGAGGCUGAGCUGCCCGGGGGUGAGGAGGAAGUGGGGCGAGGGGGAUUGGGCCCGGAGGCCAGGUCAUAGAUUACGGUGCUGGUUCUGCACUUGGCCGUGACUUUGUGGCCUGCAGCGAUUCUACUUCCCCUCUCAGCCUCCGUGUCCAUUUAUAAUAUGGAGAAAAUCAGCGCCUUCACGGCAAGCGCAUGAGACAGCAGCAGGAGAAAGCGCUCACACGCGGUAGCAAGGCAUUACCGCGUCUGCACGGUGCCCUGUUUGAGAUGGCUACAAAGAAGGAGCAAAGAAAAAACGGAAGAUGAAAACCAUGAAUUUAAAGUUGAAUUUAAAGUUGAAUGUACCUACCUAUAUAGUUUAAGUUUAAAAAAUCUGGCUCUCAAAAGAAAUUUCCAUCGUUGUCCUGUUGAUAUUUGGCUCUGUUGACUAAUGAGUUUGCCGACCACUGUCCUCGGCCUUCCUUGCCUGCUGUCCCAGGUAGAUCUUUGCUGCCCUCGUGGGCCCCGACCCUUUGGCUCCGUCCUGUGUAGCCCUUCCCUUUGGAUAUCCCGCCCCCACCUCUUUUCCUUAAAUAAACUCAGUUUUCUGUCAUCACCGCCUGAGAUGGCUGUUUACCUGCCCGCGCCAGCACCACCGACUUCCACCUUCCACAGACGUCAUUGCAUAAGAACCCUCGGUCCUGGACUCCACUCCGGACAGCCCUGUUCCCCUGGACCCAGUUGCUUAACCUCUUUCAGCUUCUGUUUCAUCAUCAACAAACACAAAUGACGAUAAAGUCCCCGCGGACCUCCGGCGGCUGUUGUGACAACGGGGGCCCCCGACACCUACGUGUUCCGUGGGGUCCCUGCCAAGUGAACAUGAGGGGCUUCUUGUUGAAAAAGUACUAAGAAGGUCACCAUGGCAACAGCAGAGCCUCAGACACGUAAUCCUCAGCUCUCAACUCACCUGAGCUCCAAGUCCUGCCACGGCAGGCAGCCGGGGAGGAUGGACAGAGACCGGCUCUAUUAUGAACCCCUCAACUAUGUCAAAGGGCCGCGGAGAGCCGCGGGGAGCAUCCGGCAUGGUGCCGGGCGUCGGCUGGACACAAAAGGGCCUGCGCUCGAGCUGGUGUGGAAGGCGGCCGUGUGCUCAGAGGCCAGGCUGCAGCCUGACCCUCCCCGUCCACCGGGCGGAGCAGACCCGAGGAACGACGGGAGAUGCAGCUUCAGCGGAGCCUUUAUGAUAGAGUCACACCUACACGGCGGGCACCUGUCGGUAGACGCGUCACACCUCUCCUGUGCACAGAUACUACAGGACUGUAGCUGUUCUUGGCCAACCUGACAUCAACACACAUCUCUGAGCCUGACCCUCCACGGAAUACCACAGAAACACUGCAACGUCUGGUAGUACCAGGGUUUUUAAGAAUGGCACAUUUCAUCUUAGGAAAUUCAUUCUGGAAACCUUUCCUUUGAUUCCGUCUCUUGUCCAUUUCCCAUGAAAAGGCCUUUGAUCAUGUCCUCAAUUUGCAGCAGUAUUUUAACCUCAAAGACGAGCUUAACCCGUGCAAGGAGAUGCGUGGUGAGAACCUGAAGUGAUGUAACAGUUUGGUUCUUCUGGAAGGCAUGCUGUCUCGUCAGGCCACUGAUCACAGAGAAACCCGGCAUUUCUGAGCAGCAGGAGCGUUCUCAGGACCAGGGCCCACCUUCCUAAGCUGGUGGCAGGA